rnacentral:lncRNA from 1 species
UUCAAUGUGGUAAAAACAAACUGUACAUAUGAUUAAUUUAGUCACCAAACGACAAAAUAUUUUUAUCACCUAUUCUUAGAAAAUCUAUAUAGUGGAGAAGUAUAAUAAUGCCCUGUAUGUUAGUAAGAUGAAUUAUAGUGUUAAUAUUGUCUAUGGCUAUACAUAAGUCGGAAUGGUUUAUAUACAUGGGAACUCUUGAUAGACACACCUUUGUAAGUAUGGAAGUGAAGCCACUUCCUAUGAGAUGAGACUCGUAUCUAGGGCACUUAUGAAAUUAGAGUAUAAGCACAAGAACUAAAAUAUGCUGGC